rnacentral:rRNA from 1 species
UACGUAGGGACCAAGCGUUGUUCGGAUUUACUGGGCGUAAAGGGCGCGUAGGCGGCAAUUCAAGUCAUCUGUGAAAUCUCCGGGCUUAACUCGGAACGGUCAGAUGAUACUGCUUUGCUAGAGUGCGGAAGGGGCAAUCGGAAUUCUCGGUGUAGCGGUGAAAUGCGUAGAUAUCGAGAGGAACACCUGAGGUGAAGACGGGUUGCUGGGCCGAUGACUGACGCUGAGGAGCGAAAGCGUGGGGAGCGAACAGGA